UGUUCUUGUGUCAACAAGUUAUCAGCACUGGCAUGUGCUGCCACCUAUGGAGGUUGAGGAAAACUAAAUAAACAUGGCUGGUUUCUGUUAACGCAAGGCUUUUGUCCUACUCAUUAUUUGUGUCUAAUUAACGCCCACAAGAUAAACCUCCUGACUCAACAACACACAAGUGCAAACA